rnacentral:rRNA from 1 species
CCUUAAGGUAACUGCGGAGACAUUA